rnacentral:rRNA from 1 species
UACGAAGGGGCUAGCGUUGCUCGGAAUCACUGGGCGUAAAGCGCACGUAGGCGGAUUGUUAAGUCAGGGGUGAAAUCCUGGAGCUCAACUCCAGAACUGCCUUUGAUACUGGCGAUCUCGAGUCCGGGAGAGGUGAGUGGAACUGCGAGUGUAGAGGUGAAAUUCGUAGAUAUUCGCAAGAACACCAGUGGCGAAGGCGGACUCACUGGCCCGGUACGUGACUGCUGACGGAACGAAAGGCUAAGGGGAGACAA